CCUACGGGGGGCAGCAGUGAGGAAUAUUGGUCAAUGGACGAGAGUCUGAACCAGCCAAGUAGCGUGAAGGAUGACUGCCCUAUGGGUUGUAAACUUCUUUUAUAUGGGAAUAAAAUGUUCCACGUGUGGGAUUUUGUAUGUACCAUAUGAAUAAGGAUCGGCUAACUCCGUGCCAGCAGCCGCGGUAAUACGGAGGAUCCGAGCGUUAUCCGGAUUUAUUGGGUUUAAAGGGAGCGUAGGUGGAUUGUUAAGUCAGUUGUGAAAGUUUGCGGCUCAACCGUAAAAUUGCAGUUGAAACUGGCAGUCUUGAGUACAGUAGAGGUGUGCGGAAUUCGUGGUGUAGCGGUGAAAUGCUUAGAUAGCACGAAGAACUCCGAUUGCGAAGGCAGUUCACUGGACUGCAACUGACACUGAGGCUCGAAAGUGUGGGUAUCAAACAGGAUUAGAUACCCCUGUAGUC
rnacentral:rRNA from 1 species